UACCUGGUUCGUUUCUCCAGAGAAGUAAUAAGUUGUCUUGAAGCUGGCAGUCGACUCUCCGGCCAGAGACACAGAGCCCUUGUAGUCGGCUCCAAAGACCGAAAAUGACCAGCCGCGAGGGUAGACGAGGUCAAAGUUUAGCUGGCAAAACCUGCGUUGGUCCCUUGGCGAAGAUCCUGGCCCGUUACUGGCGUACAAAUCUCUUGUCCGGAUAGGACACUUGGUGCCAUUGUCGUCGAGUUCUAUUGAUAAUGUUCCUUGGUUACAGCCGCUGCCGCCAUAAGCUACCCCCCUGAGCUGCACGUCUGCUGGGCUGAUAUCCUCUGCCCGCGGAAACGGAUUUGGAAGCACAGCAGCACAUGCGAGAGAAAAUAGAGGGAGGACGGACAAGUACUUCAUGUUGAACUGCGGGUGAAGUACGGGAGAUGUGAAAUAUAGGAACUGUUGCGCAAGGGGUAUGGGUAUAUUGGGUAAUUGUCGGAUGUGAGGCUUAUAGUUAACUAUGAACAGAGGGAUAAGACAAUAUAAUCCGGACUACUCAGGAAAAUGAUCUUGAGGGUGCUGUGGAAGGCAGAAUAUAUCCGGGAACGGGGGGAUUCCAUGACAUAUUUAAAGACCUGCGGGCAUAAGGGAACAAUGAUUCAAUUUCAUAUAUCGUCUCUACAGGA
rnacentral:sRNA from 1 species